CCGGGUAUCACCUGUCAGGAGACAACAGAGGAACCAGUCCAUCGCACACGCUGCCCGGAUAACAAAACCUGGGCCCAAUCAGGCCCCAUCUGUGGGGGAUGCAGGGAAGAGCAACCUUCACACAUUCCCUUCAGAAGAGAUGGCUCCCACUGCUUGGAGGGGGACUGUUCUGGGCUGAGGAAGACCACAUCUGAGGGAAGGAAAGCAGUGAGAGAGGAAGGAGGAGAGAAGCGGGUCCCAGGCCCCCGCAGGCCUCAGCCCCACGCCGGGCUGUGUUAUGCUGUUUCCUCACGCCACGUCGCCAUAGCAACUCCAUCAGCAAGCAGCUCCGCUCCAACUCCGCUUCCCUCUCCAUAGAUGGUUUUCGGGGCUUUCCCCCCCCCUCCCUUUUUCUCACCUCAGCUUUCUGUUCAGUGCCCAUCCCAGCCCCUGUCCUAGGAGGCUGCUGGCCAGUCCUCCCCACACCAAGUGGGGAUUUGCAGGGCUGCUCUGCAACUUCGCCAUGCAGUGGGGCUGAGGGGUCACAGGCAGGGCCCCCAACCCCAGUGAAGGACAGAGCAGGGUUUUUUGGGGAGAGGGAUAUUACAGAGCAGAGUCUUCUGGGUCCCCACACUCCUUUCCCUUCCCCUCCAUAUCCCUGCCCCUUCAGCAUCACCAUCCAUGAGCACGAGGACUUCAAGCACCCUUCUGUUGCAAAGAGGGUCUUAAAGCUCACCCAGUUCCAACUCCCCCUGCUGUGGGCUGGCUGCCGCCCACCUGCUCAGGUUGCCCAGGGCCCCAUCCAGCCUGGCCUUGGGCACCUCCAUGGAUGAGGUACCCACACUUCUCUGGGCAUCAGUGCCUGUGCCUCACUGCCCUCUAAGAAAGCACCAUUCAGACUUCACUUGCUCUGUCACAGGGGUGCAUCUGCCUCCAGGGGUCCCUUCCAGCCCUGUUAUCCAGCACCAAUAACCAGAGAAGGCUAAAUGUCUAAUUAAAACACUAGCUGAGCCAGAACCAUGGGUAAAUCAGUGCUUAUAUAAUUAAGAAAAAAAAGAGAGAGAGAGAGAGAGAGAGAGUAGAAAGAGAUGUAGGAAGGCCAAAAUAAUCAUGGAAGAUGCAGAGACACUGGAAGGAGAGGGCUCAUAAGGAAGACUCUUGACCUCGGUUCAGACAGCCCAUCCACAGCAACAAAAAAGCCAUCCUCCAGGAAGAGGAGGGUUUCGAGAGCAUCCCCCAGCAUUAGAUGCUUUCUUCCACUUAAUAUCACAGCUCUCCUUUAGCUCCUUGGAAGUCCCAACCUGAAGUACCAAGGAAAGCCACCGGUGCCUUGAAAGGCCAACUUUAAGGAGACCAAAUUCACUGCCAAACUAAGAGCUCAUCUUCCUCGUCGAGCAUCUGGCCCUGCUGAGCACCAGCAGACAUCUGCAGCGGGAGAAGAGGGAUGGAGCAGAGAGGACUCAGAGGGGACAGCAAAGCUUCUGACAGCCGAACCCCAUCGACACAAAGCUCCUUGGCCCCAAGCCCCAACGUGCUCAGCCCAAAGCCAAGCCAAAGGAGCAGCCCAGACCCCGGGACUGCGCAGCACAAACCCUUUGCAGUUAUUCCCACGCACGUCUGCACCAGGCUCAAGGUUUCUUUAUGCACGCAAUCACACUGACUUAACUUAAGGUGCAAUUUUGCAACCGCUGCUGCUUGCUUGCUUGUUUGGGAAGCCAAGCUUCUUUCAAUGUGGUGUAAGUCAAUUAGGAGCAGGUUGAAGCUGAAGUGAAUUAAGGCAUUCAACCCCAAAUGCAAGUGCCUGCCUGGAGGAAAGGGGAGGGGAAGGCAGCUCUGCACCAGUUUUAACUAACCCAGUGCGAUUCAACCAAUAUAAAAUCUGAGAACAGACAAGGCGGCAUCCUUU
ensembl:lncRNA